GGCCCCGUCGUCUAACGGUUUAGGAUAUCAGAUUCUCAUUCUGAUGAUUACGGGUUCGAAUCCCGUCGGGGUCA
rnacentral:tRNA from 1 species